rnacentral:rRNA from 1 species
AGAGUUUGAUCCUGGCUCAGGAUGAACGCUGGCGGCGUGCUUAACACAUGCAAGUCGAACGAAGCACUUUAUUUGAUUUCUUCGGAAUGAAGAUUUUGUGACUGAGUGGCGGACGGGUGAGUAACGCGUGGGUAACCUGCCUCAUACAGGGGGAUAACAGUUAGAAAUGACUGCUAAUACCGCAUAAGACCACAGCACCGCAUGGUGCAGGGGUAAAAACUCCGGUGGUACAGGAUGGACCCGCGUCUGAUUAGCUGGUUGGUGAGGUAACGGCUCACCAAGGCGACGAUCAGUAGCCGGCUUGAGAGAGUGAACGGCCACAUUGGGACUGAGACACGGCCCAAACUCCUACGGGAGGCAGCAGUGGGGAAUAUUGCACAAUGGGGGAAACCCUGAUGCAGCGACGCCGCGUGAGUGAAGAAGUAUUUCGGUAUGUAAAGCUCUAUCAGCAGGGAAGAAAAUGACGGUACCUGACUAAGAAGCCCCGGCUAACUACGUGCCAGCAGCCGCGGUAAUACGUAGGGGGCAAGCGUUAUCCGGAUUUACUGGGUGUAAAGGGAGCGUAGACGGAGUAGCAAGUCUGAUGUGAAAACCCGGGGCUCAACCCCGGGACUGCAUUGGAAACUGUUAAUCUGGAGUGCCGGAGAGGUAAGCGGAAUUCCUAGUGUAGCGGUGAAAUGCGUAGAUAUUAGGAGGAACACCAGUGGCGAAGGCGGCUUACUGGACGGUAACUGACGUUGAGGCUCGAAAGCGUGGGGAGCAAACAGGAUUAGAUACCCUGGUAGUCCACGCC